AUUCUCCCACUAAGGACGCAUGCCAGAGAAAGGGACACCACUGGUCCUGACACUUAGGAGUGGAAGGCUGGGUUUCUAAAAUCUUUCCAAGUCCACUUUGAACCUGCUGAUUUCUUCCAGCUUGCUGUCUCUGUACUGGCUUUGUAAAGUGGGUUCUGCUCUCUGUGCUUUCCCCUUUUCAUGGAACAACUGUGCACAGACUAUCUGUUGAUAGGAGGUUUGAAAUUAGCAGCUGAUCCUAAAAUUCAUCUGAAGGUGCCCAAAUACUCCAAAUGAACAAAGAAACAGCGUUCUGACUUAGGAAACGUCUGCGGUAGAGGCUGGGGAGAUGACUCCGCUGGUGACGCGUCUGCCGAAGUCUGCGUUUGGCUCUCUAGCAUCCAUGAGGAAAUCUGGACAUGGCAGCAUGCCGCUGAACCCAGGAAAGGGGAGGCAGGUGGAUCCCGGAGCUCGAUGGCUACCAGCCGAGCCAAACUGCUAGCUGCAGGAUCAGUUUAGAGACCUUGUCUCAAAAAGUAAGGUGGAGCUGGGCAGUGGUGGCGCAGGCCUUUAAUCCCAGCACUCGGGAGGCAGAGCCAGG